GACGUAGGGUGCGAGCGUUGUCCGGAUUUAUUGGGCGUAAAGAGCUCGUAGGCGGUUUGUCGCGUCGAAUGUGAAAACCCGGGGCUCAACCCCGGGCCUGCAUUCGAUACGGGCAGACUAGAGUUCGGUAGGGGAGUCUGGAAUUCCUGGUGUAGCGGUGAAAUGCGCAGAUAUCAGGAGGAACACCGGUGGCGAAGGCGGGACUCUGGGCCGAUACUGACGCUGAGGAGCGAAAGCGUGGGGAGCAAACAGG
rnacentral:rRNA from 1 species